rnacentral:pre_miRNA from 1 species
GUCGUGUCGACGACCGACGAGCGAAGGUGAAAGACCUGUUGGUAGUGAGACGAUGAAAUUUAAUCCUUUCGUAUCACUACCCAGGCUUUCGCCCUUGCUUCGGUACAAUGGCC